GGUGGUUUUUUCGACCCUCGUUCCCCGUCGUGCGC
rnacentral:rRNA from 1 species